rnacentral:rRNA from 1 species
UACGAAGGGGGCUAGCGUUGCUCGGAAUCACUGGGCGUAAAGGGUGCGUAGGCGGGUCUUUAAGUCAGGGGUGAAAUCCUGGAGCUCAACUCCAGAACUGCCUUUGAUACUGAGAAGCUUGAGUCCGGGAGAGGUGAGUGGAACUGCGAGUGUAGAGGUGAAAUUCGUGGAUAUUCGCAAGAACACCAGUGGCGAAGGCGGCUCACUGGCCCGGUACUGACGCUGAGGUGCGAAAGCGUGGGGAGCAAACAGG